rnacentral:lncRNA from 1 species
UGCUGGGGUUACUGGUGUUUUGGAGUCUUACGGAGACUAGGUUAUGGGAUAUAAAGACGACCUAUGUCUCUUCCUACAUUUUAUUCUGCCUUUGCCUGAAGCUCAGCUGCUGACUUACUUGUGGAGGUUGACAGUUCUGACUGAGGUCUGGUCCAAGUUGAGAAUGGUCCAGAGACAUGCGUGUGUCUUCUAAACCCAUUUCCCCGCACCAGACUGACGCCGCCUGGCUGCUUGCCGCUCUCCUGUAGGCAUGCUAGAUGAGACAGGCCGUGGUGUAUAUGGCAUAUAUGCCAUGCUGUAUAUGCAUGUCCUUUGGUUCUACGUGCAGUUCCAUUCCUUCUCUCUUAUUCAAGGAAGUAUGUGGAGAUGAAUUGCCUCAAAUUGGCUCAGUCCAAUGCAUGGUUCCAGCAAUUAAAAAAAGAUGCAGCCCCAGAGCCGGGC